UAAUGUUUGAUGUUCUAACGUGGACCCGUAAUCCGGGUUGCGGACAGUGUCUGGUGGGUAGUUUGACUGGGGCGGUCUCCUCCUAAAGAGUAACGGAGGAGCACGAAGGUUGGCUAAUCCUGGUCGGACAUCAGGAGGUUAGUGCAAUGGCAUAAGCCAGCUUGACUGCGAGCGUGACGGCGCGAGCAGGUGCGAAAGCAGGUCAUAGUGAUCCGGUGGUUCUGAAUGGAAGGGCCAUCGCUCAACGGAUAAAAGGUACUCCGGGGAUAACAGGCUGAUACCGCCCAAGAGUUCAUAUCGACGGCGGUGUUUGGCACCUCGAUGUCGGCUCAUCACAUCCUGGGGCUGAAGUAGGUCCCAAGGGUAUGGCUGUUCGCCAUUUAAAGUGGUACGCGAGCUGGGUUUAGAACGUCGUGAGACAGUUCGGUCCCUAUCUGCCGUGGGCGCUGGAGAACUGAGGGGGGCUGCUCCUAGUACGAGAGGACCGGAGUGGACGCAUCACUGGUGUUCGGGUUGUCAUGCCAAUGGCACUGCCCGGUAGCUAAAUGCGGAAGAGAUAAGUGCUGAAAG
rnacentral:rRNA from 1 species